rnacentral:misc_RNA from 1 species
GAAAUGCGAUAAGUAAUGUGAAUUGCAGAAUUCAGUGAAUCAUCGAAUCUUUGAACGCACAUUGCGCCCGCCAGUAUUCUGGCGGGCAUGCCUGUCCGAGCGUCAUUUCAACCAUCAAGCCCCCGGGCUUGUGUUGGGGACCUGCGGCUGCCCGCAGGCCCUGAAAACCAGUGGCGGGCUCGCUGUCACACCGAGCGUAGUAGCAAUCACCUCGCUCAGGGCGUGCUGCGGGUUCCGGCCGUUAAACAGCCUUACAAAACCCAAGGUUGACCUCGGAUCAGGUAGGAAGUCCCGCUGAACUUAAGC